UCUCAAAAUAAAUAAAUGAAUAGACUCAAAUAAAAAAAAAAAAGAAAGGGAUAUGAAUCUCCAAGACACAAGUAUUUUGUUGUAAAUUAUUUACUCAUUCUAAAUGAAUAUUCACUUCCAGAUCUAAUUUUUAAAUUUUUAUUAUUUUUCUAAAAGAAGGGCCCCCAAAUUUUAUAAGCUUCAAGCCCACAAAACCUGGAUCUGCCUUUGGGAAGACUCAUACCCAAGCCUCAUCUCCAGAGACUGUGAUUUCAUUGAUCUGGGGCAGUAGAUCUCAGCUGAGAAUCUAGCACCAAGUCUGGCUCGAAAAUGUUUGCAUGAAAGAAUGAACGGACGAAAUGAUGACUCUCACUCCCUGGGAUGGUGAAAGCCCACAGAUCCAUGAUGCCCUCCUCAUGGCUCAUCUCACUGUUAACUUCUCGUUUCCUCUGGGGCCCCCAAAACGGUAUGUAAGGAUGGCUUUCCUUUUAAAUGCUCAGUACUGUUGACUGCUCAUGGGGCACAGCCUAGCCUACCAGGUAGCUAGUGAGCCACUUCUUUUUUUUUGUUGGUUUCAGCUUUAUUGAGAUAUGGUUGAAAUAUAACAUUGGAAGUUUAGGGUGCACAGUGAGAUGAUUUGAUACAUGUAAAUACUGUGACGUGAUUACCACGAGAUUAGUUAACUCAUCUAUCACCGGA